rnacentral:rRNA from 1 species
GAUGAACGCUGGCGGCGUGCCUAAUACAUGCAAGUCGAGCGAACAGACGAGGAGCUUGCUCCUCUGACGUUAGCGGCGGACGGGUGAGUAACACGUGGAUAACCUACCUAUAAGACUGGGAUAACUUCGGGAAAUCGGAGCUAAUACCGGAUAAUAUAUUGAACCGCAUGGUUCAAUAGUGAAAGACGGUUUUGCUGUCACUUAUAGAUGGAUCCGCGCCGCAUUAGCUAGUUGGUAAGGUAACGGCUUACCAAGGCAACGAUGCGUAGCCGACCUGAGAGGGUGAUCGGCCACACUGGAACUGAGACACGGUCCAGACUCCUACGGGAGGCAGCAGUAGGGAAUCUUCCGCAAUGGGCGAAAGCUUGACGGAGCAACGCCGCGUGAGUGAUGAAGGUCUUCGGAUCGUAAAACUCUGUUAUUAGGGAAGAACAAAUGUGUAAGUAACUAUGCACGUCUUGACGGUACCUAAUCAGAAAGCCACGGCUAACUACGUG